AUGAACGCUGGCGGCGUGCCUAAUCCAUGCACGUCGAGCGAACAGACGAGGAGCUUGCUCCUCUGACGUUAGCGGCGGACGGGUGAGUAACACGUGGAUAACCUACCUAUAAGACUGGGAUAACUUCGGGAAACCGGAGCUAAUACCGGAUAAUAUAUUGAACCGCAUGGUUCAAUAGUGAAAGACGGUUUUGCUGUCACUUAUAGAUGGAUCCGCGCCGCAUUAGCUAGUUGGUAAGGUAACGGCUUACCAAGGCAACGAUGCGUAGCCGACCUGAGAGGGUGAUCGGCCACACUGGAACUUAGACACGGUCCAGACUCCUACGGGAGGCAGCAGUAGGGAAUCUUCCGCAAUGGGCGAAAGCCUGACGGAGCAACGCCGCGUGAGUGAUGAAGGUCUUCGGAUCGUAAAACUCUGUUAUUAGGGAAGAACAAAUGUGUAAGUAACUAUGCACGUCUUGACGGUACCUAAUCAGAAAGCCACGGCUAACUACGUG
rnacentral:rRNA from 1 species